CGGACAUCAGGAGGUUAGUGCAAUGGCAUAAGCCAGCUUGACUGCGAGCGUGACGGCGCGAGCAGGUGCGAAAGCAGGUCAUAGUGAUCCGGUGGUUCUGAAUGGAAGGGCCAUCGCUCAACGGAUAAAAGGUACUCCGGGGAUAACAGGCUGAUACCGCCCAAGAGUUCAUAUCGACGGCGGUGUUUGGCACCUCGAUGUCGGCUCAUCACAUCCUGGGGCUGAAGUAGGUCCCAAGGGUAUGGCUGUUCGCCAUUUAAAGUGGUACGCGAGCUGGGUUUAGAACGUCGUGAGACAGUUCGGUCCCUAUCUGCCGUGGGCGCUGGAGAACUGAGGGGGGCUGCUCCUAGUACGAGAGGACCGGAGUGGACGCAUCACUGGUGUUCGGGUUGUCAUGCCAAUGGCACUGCCCGGUAGCUAAAUGCGGAAGAGAUAAGUGCUGAAAGCAUCUAAGCACGAAACUUGCCCCGAGAUGAGUUCUCCCUGACCCUUUAAGGGUCCUGAAGGAACGUUGAAGACGACGACGUUGAUAGGCCGGGUGUGUAAGCGCAGCGAUGCGUUGAGCUAACCGGUACUAAUGAACCGUGAGGCUUAACCUU
rnacentral:rRNA from 1 species